rnacentral:siRNA from 1 species
UCUAGGUAAGAGUACCGGGG